UCUGGGAUCACCCUCCAUCUCUCUGUGGCCACCGUGCUCCUGUCCCUGAGCCUCCUGGCUCUGCUGGUCUGAGAUCCCAGGAAGCCUUUCGGCACAUUCUAACCUGGCUGAGAGCUGUUCGCCCAGAGACAAGGGGAUUAACCUCAGAAUGCCGUCCAGGGUGCUUUUCAGAGAGUUUCCUGUCAUCUUGGAAAGAUAACAACCUGGUCCCAGAGAAGCUCUCUCCCAUUUGGCCUGCAAUCCACCCUAAUAAACUUUCAUAGGACUCAA